rnacentral:rRNA from 1 species
CGGGACGGGUGAGUAACGCGUGGGUAACCUGCCUCAUACAGGGGGAUAACAGUUAGAAAUGGCUGCUAAUACCGCAUAAGACCACAGUACUGCAUGGUACAGUGGUAAAAACUCCGGUGGUAUGAGAUGGACCCGCGUCUGAUUAGGUAGUUGGCGAGGUAACGGCUCACCAAGCCGACGAUCAGUAGCCGACCUGAGAGGGUGACCGGCCACAUUGGGACUGAGACACGGCCCAG